GUUUUUAUAGUUUAAAAAAAACAUUGGUCUUGUAAGCCAAAAAUAAUAAAAAGUUUAAAAACU
rnacentral:tRNA from 1 species